UACGUAGGGAGCAAGCGUUAUCCGGAUUUAUUGGGUGUAAAGGGUGCGUAGAUGGGAAUGCAAGUUAGCUGUGAAAUCCCUCUGCUUAACGGAGGAACUGCAACUAAAACUGUAUUUCUUGAGUGCUGGAGAGGAAAGUGGAAUUCCUAGUGUAGCGGUGAAAUGCGUAGAUAUUAGGAGGAACACCGGUGGCGAAGGCGACUUUCUGGACAGUAACUGACAUUGAGGCACGAAAGUGUGGGGAGCAAAC
rnacentral:rRNA from 1 species